GACGAACGCUGGCGGCGUGCCUAAUACAUGCAAGUAGAACGCUGACUACUUUAGCUUGCUAGAGUAGAAGGAGUUGCGAACGGGUGAGUAACGCGUAGGUAACCUGCCUACUAGCGGGGGAUAACUAUUGGAAACGAUAGCUAAUACCGCAUAACAGUGUUUAACACAUGUUAGAUGCUUGAAAGAUGCAAUUGCAUCACUAGUAGAUGGACCUGCGUUGUAUUAGCUAGUUGGUGGGGUAACGGCCCACCAAGGCGACGGUACAUAGCCGACCUGAGAGGGUGAUCGGCCACACUGGGACUGGGACACGGCCCAGACUCCUACGGGAGGCGGCAGUAGGGAAUCUUCGGCAAUGGGGGCAACCCUGACCGAGCAACGCCGCGUGAGUGAAGAAGGUUUUCGGAUCGUAAAGCUCUGUUGUAAGAGAAGAACGUGUGUGAGAGUGGAAAGUUCACACAGUGACGGUAACUUACCAGAAAGGGACGGCUAACUACGUGCCAGCCGCCGCCGUAA
rnacentral:rRNA from 1 species